CCCGCCGGCAGGCCCAGCCCCCGGCCCCCGGGGCUUUCAGUCCCAGCGUGGGGUGCAGCGGGCCCCCCAGGGCCGACACGUACUAGGGCCCACGGGCAGGGCGCAGCAACUCCACGCCCUGCAGCCCCGCACCGGGACGCCCGGGCCCGGUGCCCAUCAGCCCCUCGCGCCUAAAGCCGCGCGCGGCCCCCCGCCCGGACCGGAUCAGGAGGACACUCAGAGGAGAGACUGCUGCGUGCCUACCUAGCUGCACAGACUCGGAUAGAAGCGUGUCCACGUCUACAGCUCACAACUGUGCAAAUCCGGAGCCUGCGGAUGCGCGGGGAUGGUCGGACUUAACAGUGUGCAGACACAUGGGCGCAUGCACGCGCGCGCGCGUACACAAUCACACCCCAAAUUACCUCCGGGAUGGAGAAAGCCGCUGCGGAUUGGCCAGGAGAGCCGUCACUCACACCCAGGGGGCAGGAAGAUUUUGCAAGGCUGUUUCCUUUUUUUCCCCCCUCCCUACCGUUUCAUUUAUUGGUAAAACAACAGCAAAGCUCUGAAAGUUAGCCAUCUGCGGCGAGAGUUUGCCUUCUUUAACUACGGGGGCGUCAGACAAUACCCAUUUAAAUAUAUUUUAUACUUCCACAAUGGAUGAAAGGGA
ensembl:lncRNA